rnacentral:rRNA from 1 species
CUGUGUAGAGGUUAGAGGUGGGAGCGGCAACUUGGUGCUGUGGGCUGGAGUUGUGUCGUUUGGGAGCCGCUGGAAGGAGUACGGAGGUCGGUUUCGGUUCUUUGAGGCCGCCCGGCGCCGACGCCGGCGGGGGGGUCUCUCGAGGGGCCGCGGGGGAGGCCGACGCCGCCUCUGUGGAGGGCGCCGGCGGUGGGGUCUCUCUAGGGGCCGCGGGGGAGGCCGACACGGCCUCUGGUGAGGGCGACGGCGGGGCGGUCUCUGGAGAGGCCGCGCGCGAGGCCAACACCGCCGCUGGGGAGGGCUCAGCAGCCUCCGAUCACAAUGCCAACGCCUCCUACCACCGCCCUUCCUGUUCUACCGCCACCUCCUAGAGCCACUCCACCUCGCACUCCUCCGGUGGCCCCGCCUCAGGCAUCUCCUCCUCGGGCUCCUCCUCCUCGGCCUCCUCCACCUCCUCAGCCUCCUCCACCUCCNNNNNNNNNNNNNNNNNCUCCUCCUCCUCCUCCUCCUCCUGGGACUACCCCUCCUACUAGGGCUCCUUCGCCUCCUCCUACGACUCCUGCACCUCCUCCUAGGACUCCUGGGUCUCCUCCUUCGGCUGCGUCAGCUCCUACUACUCCUCCUAUGCCACGACCGCCGACCCAGCCUCUUCUGCCACUGACACCUCCCGCCACGACUCCUCCUUCGCUACCACUGGUAUAGGUUCCUCCCGCCGCCACUUCAAUGCCCCAAUCUCAGACGGCACCAUCUCCUCGGGCUCCUCCGACGAUUACACCUACUCCCUGUUCUUCUCCGUCUUCUCCUCCUUCGACUUCUCCUACGUUACCUUCUCCUACGAUGUCUCCAGGGCCCUCUACCGCGGUGGGGUCUACUGUACUUACUUGAUAGACUUCUUCUUGUACUUCUUAGACCCGUACUUCCAUGUGUACCCUUAUUGUUGCUCCCACCACAACGGACGGUCAACUCACAGGUAAGACUCCGCGUCUUACCAGUUGAACUGAGGAGUAACGGAUGUGAUCCAAGUCAAAGUCACCCGUUAUGAUUUCUGAACGUUCAUAAAGAAGUACCUAACGGAUUCCUAACACGACUCUUUCUGUAAUGUCUCCAGAAAAGAGUUAAGCCUCUCUAACUUAGAUAAUUUUGUUAAUCUUUUUUCUUGUCGUAACGUAAGCAAGCAAUAUACUCGUGACUUCGACGUUUCUUCCGAGAACGGCUUAAAUUCCUCCCUCGACUCCACUGUCCCCCUUCCCAAUUUCAUAGUCGAAGAUCUCCACUAUUAUGGGAAAUGGAAUCGUUGUAGACGUUUUCGACCUGUUUUCUCGUCCACGCUUGAAGGAACUCUUCAUAGCCUUAGCUACCUAAACUAUACUCAAAUGGGCAACUAGGACUUUGACCUCCUGUUUUGGCUCCCUAAUGAAAAGAGUUUAAACGAAGCGGACUGUUGCGGUUUCGACGUAGAGUCGACGAUGUCGUUGGUCUACGUAACUAAUGGUAACAAUUUUCACACUUCCUUAGACGAGUUUAGGGAUGUCUUAGUUCGGACCUCGAACGAUACGACGUCCAAUUUUGUCAUAUGGAGCUUGUACAAGGAGAAAGAACCCUAUUCCCGUUUCAAUUUCUUACAACGUUUCGUAUACCCCACUAAGUCCUACAAGUGUAAAAUUUCUUCAGUUUUUGCUUUUGAAGAAAACAACUUAAGAGUAGGUCCUUCUCACGUAAUCGAACACACCUUCCUUAUUUGUCACGGUUAUAACCACCACUUCAAUUCGACCGACGUUCAGAACGAGCUGGUGCAGCCCUUUGUGUUGACCUGUUCUUCUCACGAUUUCCACCCCAGUUCCAGUUAUCACUACGUUGAAGGUUUCUGUGGUUGUUAAGAUAAUUCUUUUUCUUGGUCUUAUCCCUCCAGUCUCACUUCUUCCUAAGUGGUGUAUUUAACGCUUUUCCACUACACUCGUUCGACUGGAGUGUACAACUACGCUUUCAUGGUGUUAGUAGGUUGGGUAGAUUUCCGUUUGCCUUUCGACCUUUCUGACUUUUAUGGCGACAUUUACUUUCCCGUGGCUUCUCUCGUGCCUUCUUAGCACCACAAGACUGUUUUGGAAGGUUGUCUUGUAGAGUACCACCAGUACGAUCUCAAGGGAUACGUCCUCUUAGAAGACCUUUGUAAUUCGCGGGACACCCUGGAGUUAUACAUUGACCGUUGGUUAGAAUGGGGUAACGCCCGCGUAGAAGGUCUAGAUUUGGUUUACGAGCACUGGACCUUGGAGUACGACCUAUGUAGGGAGGAUGUUUAGCACAAGCACGUGGACGUUUAGUACAAGGUCAGUGGAUACAAAUACUAGUAGGCUCUUCGCGUGGUAGGUGAUAGGUAGUGUAACUGCCAGAAGGAAUACGAUCUCUUUAUCGUCGAGGUGGUGGUCGGAUACCCAUGUGUUCGUUAGGAGUUAUGGUCCUACCUAUACGUAUGCGGAUGGUGGGGGGCGGAGUAGGUUCACCUAGAAUGGUGAUGGGUCCUUGGCCGCGUAUAUCGGGAGCUUCCUCUAUGAUGACUGAUUUUAGGAUCACGGUUCAGUUACGAAAGUAGAGUACAUUAUGAUGUUUAUGUCUUGCAAACGUCAAAAGUCCCUGGGAGUACAACAAAACGAUCUACCGACUGCGACCUUUCUUCAUUUCAAGUCAAAACAGCCGCGAAUCUAGAAGCCAAAUAUAAACUUACUUUCACGUAGUAAUCCUCUUACCGUAAAACCUAGAGCCGGAGGUACCUCCGACCUAAAAACUUUUUAAGUUUUAAUUUUUUUUU